GUGAAUGAGAGCUCUCAGGAGGGAGGCUGGCGCAGGCAGGGGUGAGGAGCACAGCAGGCGGCGAGCGGGAGGCACUGGCCUCCAGAGCCCGUGGCCAAGGCGGGCCUCACGGGCGACGACGGAGCCGGGAUCGGUGCCUCAGCGUUCGGGCUGGAGACGAGGCCAGGUCUCCAGUCGGGGUGGACGUGCCCACCAGCUGCCGAAGGCCGGGACGCCAGGUCCGGCGGACUUGCCGAGCGGGACAUGACAUGGUCCGGUGUGACGGCGAGGACAGAAGGGGCGCGUCCGGCCUUCCUGAACACCCUAGGCUGGUGGGGCUGCGGCAAGAAGCGGGUCUGUUUCUUUACUUCUCCCACGGAGUCGGCACACUACAGCUGCCCUCUGGGCUCCCAGAACCCACAACAUGAAAGAAUGGUGCUACCCAGCUCAAGCCUGGGCCUUUGAAUCCGGACACAAAACCCUCUAGUUGGAAUCGAACACGCUGCACUUUACAACCACUGCACUACUUGACUCAGGAAUCGGCUCCAGAAGGUGAAGCUAGAGGAACAAGACCUCAUCAACCCAACACCAAAGACGCCAUUGGACCAGCAGCGCCCGCAGCACCCACCCCCCACCAGCGACUCCAUCUUCAUGGCCACCCCCUGCGGCGGACGGUUGACCACCAGCCACCGCGUCAUCCCAGAGCUGAGCUCCUCCAGCGGGAUGACCCCGUCCCCACCACCUCCCUCUUCUUCUUCUUCAUCCUUCUGUCUCUUUGUUUCUGAGCUUUCCUGUCUUUCCUUUCUCUGAGAGAUUCAAAGCCUCCCCGACUCUGUUUCCCCCGUCCCUUCUGAAUUUAAUUUGCACUAAGUCAUUUGCACUGGUUGGAGUUGUGGAGACGGCCUUGAGUCUCGGUGCGAGUGUGUGUGAGUGUGAGCCACCUUGGCAAGUGCCCGCCCAGGACCCGGCCGCCCUUCAUCUGGGCUGGGUGACUGGGCGCCGGCUGUGUGCCCGAGGCCUCACUCUGCCCUCGCCUAGUCUGGAAGCUCCAACAUCACGGGGCAACCUUCAAGCAUUCCAUUACGCCCCAUCUCGCCCUGUGCCCC
rnacentral:lncRNA from 1 species